UCCGCUUUCUUCUCAGAUUGCCCCAGAGACUCAGACGGGGAAACUUCCGGUUCUCCUUUUGUGGAGGGCAGAGCCUCUAACUCUCGCUGCAGAUCCGAAUGCGAGAGUAUUGGCUGAGCCGGGACCCCUCGACCACCUCGAACAGCAGGCAGACCCCACAAAGUAGCCCACAGGCACUUCCUCUCUUUCGGCCGACAACUUUGAUCAGCACAGAGAGAAUAGUCGUCGACAGCGCCGCAGCUGCCUCGAGCUCCAUUCUGAUGCUUUUAGGCGCAAGCAGUCUUUUCAGUAGGAGGCAAGUGGCCAGCUCGUCUGGUGCUUGUCUUUUGUUACUGGACAAAGCACACUCUCCUACAACCCGGUUUGGCUCCGUCUUUUAAUGAAUGCUGCUUACCGCAGUAAAUGGCACUCCGGAGAUCUUACUUUUGCUAACCAUCCUCUGCUACCAGAUGUGGAGAAUGAAGAAUUUGCAUGCCAGUUUGCAGUCCACCUCAAUACCCGAUCGUCCAGACCAGACUCCCUCAGUUUAGCUGUGAGAAUGCUGUGAGAGACUGUGUCAAAUGCUUUACUGAAGUCAAGGUAGACCACAUCCACCACUCUGCCAUCAUCCAUCCACCUCCUUAUGUCUUCAUCAAAGGCUAUGAGUCGCGACAUAUGGUGACCCCGACGUGAUCCUGCAUGAAGAGGAUCUCGCAUGAAGAAGAGACAGCGGUGAAUCUGUGACAGCUGAAGACGAGCUGGGGAGACGGAGCCCAGUACAGCUGAUAGAGCAGCAGGGAGAAGCUGCCAAAGAUCCGGAUCCUUGAAAAGACACCACACCAAGAGUUGGUGAGCUACCAGAAAUGGGGGGGGGGGACUUAUCUAGAGAAGAGGGUAUUAUAUUAUCUACAUGGGAAUUGCUUCUGAAGAAGCAGGGUAUUAGCCUUCUGGAACUGACUUUACGAAGGAUGUUACUACGGGGCAAAGCACUACCUAAAGAUCCAAAGAAACAACAAACAACUAAACUGUUAACGACUUUGAGAGGAUUAAAAGAGCAACAGAAACAUGCAGAGACAGUGUGUGUGGGGGGGAGGUGGCUUACCUGGGCUAGAUUUGGGAAAAAAAAAAAAGUGCACUGUUCCAACCCCCCCUGUUACUAAUGAUUCUCCAGCACUGUUCAAGUCUGCCUUAUCUGAUGACUCGGAUGAGGAUGAGGGUCUGCAGCAUUUUCUUGAAAAGUUACAAGGAAAAGGAGUAUGUGUACGUGUUGCCCCAAGAUCAGAUAAAAACCAUGAAAGACUCAAGCAAAAUUAGACCUAUGCAAUGUAACAGCUAUAGAUCAUUUAGGGUGGAACGAUGGGGAUUCAUUGAAAGGGUCUUCCAACUCUUGGAAGAGACACUAAUUGGCACACCACAAUUACAGGUGUUAUUAGUUUCUGAAAUCCUGAGGCAGUCAACAGACCUUGCAUAUCAAGCUAUGAUAAAGGUGCCUGAAACUCACAAAGCAGCCAAAUCAUUUACAACUCUUAAUCAGGGUCCCAAUGAGAAUUACAUGCAAUUUAUUGACCAUCUUCAAGAGACCGUCAGUAAGCAGGUCGACAACUUAGAAGCUAAGGAAGCACUAGUGUUGAGAUUAGCAGUAGAGAAUGCUAAUGUUUGCUAUCAACGUGUUGUCUGUGAGUUUUACAGUACAAAUUAUGUGCUUCUGUGUAUUGAGUCUCUGAAAAUCAAGCAGCUUGUCAGGAAUGCGAGUUAAUUGUUUCACUGGUUGUUGUUAGAAUUGUUUCUUUGUGGUAUUGAUUGUAUAAGUGUGCCGUAAAACCUUCUCCCCACUUUUCCCACUCCCACUGCGAGCAGCCCUGUGCUUCCCCUCCCUCCCUCCCUAUUCUCACGAUUUUUUUACUUACGAGAUGGGGUCAGAAAUAACAGUUUUCAGUCGUGUUCCUAAGAAAUCGGUUUUGGGAGGUGUUUUCGAACAUAGGAAAGCACUUGGUAUGUGGAAAGAGGAUCUUGUUAAAUAUUGAAAUCAGUGGUGGCUGCUGUAUAAGUUAAGUGAUUGGGAAAACUGGCCGGAGAAUAGAACCUUGAAAUGUCUUUAAGUAUAACACAGCAAUCAUAGAUGUUUUCCUCUUUAACCUGUUUUCUUUGUGGGUAUCUGUUUAAGCAUGUUUCAAUUUUAGUAGGUCUUCUGUCUGUUGUGUGGUACGGUGAGUUUGCAGACUGUUAAAUCAUGAGAAUCCAUGGACUCAAAAUGUGCAUUUCGCGAUAAUGCAGAAGACCAUGAGUAAUUUAGUUCUUUACUCCGUGAAUGUGAUGGUGAAAUUUUGUGUGGAAUAGCUGUUACUUUUCUUUCUAGCAUGCUAGCUUUAUUCCAGCAUUCAGACUUGCACAACUCUGUGAUAGGCAGUGUCUCAUCGCAGUGUACUAAAUUUGGCUCUUUUGUAUGCACACCAAGUAAAGAAUCCUGUUUUGGGGAUAACAGUUGUAGCAUGCCAGAUGAGAUGCUAAUAAAAGCCUUGCCUAGUCCAGCUUGCUAAAGAACAGCGGGGGGGCGGAUGCCGAUUGGGCUCCAGCGCAUCCUGAGCUGUUUUGUCAGGGAGACCCAGUGGCACCUCUACCUGGCUGAGCAGUAAGCAGUUCAAAGGUGCAAUGCAAAAAUCGAGAUAUUGUCUUGAAUAAGUGUAACUGUGAUCCAUCUGCAUAUUUUAACUUGGUAUUUGGUUUUCAUAAAAUUAGCCAAUGAGAUUUUACUGCUGUAACUUUUAACCAAUAGUGAAGAGACACAUGAAUUGGUAAAACUGUAUAAAAAUGCACUUGUGGCAAUAAAUGGCAUCUACUGCUUUCAUCCUUGUGAGAAAUGCAGUUUUGAUUCAUGUUAAGAUGUUUAAUGUUUACAGAUAUAACCAAAUGAGGCAUGGGCUCUGAACCUGGAAAAAGGAAAAGGUGGUUAAGUUCUAUGUAAAAAGUUAUGAAACUUGUUUAUGAAGUUAUAUUGAUAGAGGGCACUAACAUUUUAAGGGUUAACCAACCACAUAAUAAGUGCUUACUAAUGAACUAACACUUUAAGCCACAUAAUGAAUGCCUAUUUUAGAGCUGUAUGUAACCAAUUGUGUUAAGAAAAAAAAAAAAAAAAAAACAGAACCUCAUCGAAUGCCAAGAUAAGAAAUUUUAUAGCACCAGCUGUAACCUUGAGGAGACAAGAUAGCCAAGAUUUACAGCAAAAGGGGGCGCCAGUCUGGUUUCGGUCGACUUGGCAGCUUUGGUUCCAGCUAAUUCAUCAUAAUGAGCCAAAAAGGUAAAGAGAUCACUGUGACGAAGCUGAAGGAGCCUUCAUCCAAAGACCCUCAAAGACCCCUCCUCAAAAUCACCAAGUGACACUGUGCAGGCGCAACAGGGAAGAGUCAAGGAGGAGACUAUGAAAAUGGUUAUCUGAGACUCAUUUUAAUAAGAAGCGGGAAAGGUUAUGAAUAUGUAUAGGCGUUCCUGGGGUUAUUAUGAAUAUGUGAUACCUUACUGUAUUUAAGCACACCUCUUAUUGUUAAAAGGUGUGCGUGUUGGGCGGAGCGAAUCCAAUGAACACGUGUUUAAGGAAUACAAUUAAGGAAUUGGAUUAAACGCUGUUUAUUCAUGGAAAAA